rnacentral:rRNA from 1 species
AUGAACGCUAGCUACAGGCUUAACACAUGCAAGUCGAGGGGCAGCAUGAACUUAGCUUGCUAAGUUUGAUGGCGACCGGCGCACGGGUGAGUAACACGUAUCCAACCUUCCGUUUACUCAGGGAUAGCCUUUCGAAAGAAAGAUUAAUACCUGAUAGUAUGGUGAGAUUGCAUGAUAGCACCAUUAAAGAUUUAUUGGUAAACGAUGGGGAUGCGUUCCAUUAGGUAGUAGGCGGGGUAACGGCCCACCUAGCCGACGAUGGAUAGGGGUUCUGAGAGGAAGGUCCCCCACAUUGGAACUGAGACACGGUCCAAACUCCUACGGGAGGCAGCAGUGAGGAAUAUUGGUCAAUGGGCGAGAGCCUGAACCAGCCAAGUAGCGUGAAGGAUGAAGGUCCUACGGAUUGUAAACUUCUUUUAUACGGGAAUAAAGUUUCCUACGUGUAGGAUUUUGUAUGUACCGUAUGAAUAAGCAUCGGCUAACUCCGUGCCAGCAGCCGCGGUAAUACGGAGGAUGCGAGCGUUAUCCGGAUUUAUUGGGUUUAAAGGGAGCGCAGACGGGAGAUUAAGUCAGUUGUGAAAGUUUGCGGCUCAACCGUAAAAUUGCAGUUGAUACUGGUUUCCUUGAGUGCAGUUGAGGCAGGCGGAAUUCGUGGUGUAGCGGUGAAAUGCUUAGAUAUCACGAAGAACCCCGAUUGCGAAGGCAGCUUGCUAAACUGUAACUGACGUUCAUGCUCGAAAGUGUGGGUAUCAAACAGGAUUAGAUACCCUGGUAGUCCACACGGUAAACGAUGGAUACUCGCUGUUGGCGAUAUACUGUCAGCGGCCAAGCGAAAGCAUUAAGUAUCCCACCUGGGGAGUACGCCGGCAACGGUGAAACUCAAAGGAAUUGACGGGGGCCCGCACAAGCGGUGGAGCAUGUGGUUUAAUUCGAAGCAACGCGAAGAACCUUACCAGGUCUUGACAUCGAUCUAAAAGGGAUGGAGACAUCCUCAUAGCUAUAGAGAAGACAGGUGGUGCAUGGUUGUCGUCAGCUCGUGUCGUGAGAUGUUGGGUUAAGUCCCGCAACGAGCGCAACCCCUAUUGUUAGUUGCCAUCAUUAAGUUGGGCACUCUAGCGAGACUGCCGGUAAUAAACCGGAGGAAGGUGGGGAUGACGUCAAAUCAGCACGGCCCUUACGUCCGGGGCUACACACGUGUUACAAUGGGAGGUACAGAAGGCAGCUACCCGGCGACGGGAUGCCAAUCCCCAAAACCUCUCUCAGUUCGGACUGGAGUCUGCAACCCGACUCCACGAAGCUGGAUUCGCUAGUAAUCGCGCAUCAGCCACGGCGCGGUGAAUACGUUCCCGGGCCUUGUACACACCGCCCGUCAAGCCAUGAAAGCCGGGGGUACCUGAAGUGCGUAACCGCAAGGAGCGCCCUAGGGUAAAACCGGUAAUUGGGGCU